rnacentral:lncRNA from 1 species
UUUGUUUAAAUAUAACGCUUAAAUCAUGUGAAAAAUUGUGUAAACUAGCCCCGCCCCGCCCCAACCAAAACCAAACAGAGCUCAGUUCGUUUUGAUCAAUUUGAUGGCGGCGGCGUUGAUGAUGAAAAGACUGUCGGCAUCGGGCAGAUUAAAGAACACAGGCACUUUUAUUACAUACUUAAACCCUAACUCAAGCAACGCCCCCCUUUUCAUUUCUCGCCGAGGUAUUGCUUCCAAGCUUUUCGUCGGAGGUACCUAUUCAUUUCUUUAACUCCUUAUGUUAAUUAAUUUGUACGAUGUUUAACACCAUAGUUAUUACAAAACUAAAACGACUUCUUUAAAUUGUUUUAAUUUUAUCUAAAGCACUUUAAAUGUUUUCUUUUCAAAUUUAUAUAUUUAAAUGUUUUAAUUGUUUUAAUUUUAUCUAAAGCACUUUCCUUGUUCACAAUUUUAAUGUUUUCUUUUCAAAUUUAAAUAUUGUAAUUGUUGUAGGGAGUCACAGUGAAAAUCACAGCAACAAUGUAUAGAGCAGUUAUAUUAUAUAAACAAGAGUAGGCCAACGAAACCACAACAAUAUAGCAUGCACGAAGAUCGUAUAUACAAUAAUCAGUGACUGAUAAAUUACGAGAAAAGAAGAGAAAGGCGCACCUUACACCGUCGCUAGAAUUAGUAUAAAGAACAGCUGAGUCGCCUAGCCCUUCGAUGAAGACUAGACUGUUCUUGAAGUGAUUAUUGCCCCACUACGCUGUGAUGGGUAGUCGCAAUAUCGCUCCCAGGAUAAAACAGCACAGACCGAACCGCUCACAGACACGAGUACGAUCAACAGCGAUCAACACCUCAGUUCGCCC